GGUUUAAUUCGAAGCAACGCGAAAGAACCUUACCAAGUCUUGACAUCCCGAUGACAAGCUAUGUAAUGUAGCCUCUCUUCGGAGCAUCGGUGACAGGUGGUGCAUGGUUGUCGUCAGCUCGUGUCGUGAGAUGUUGGGUUAAGUCCCGCAACGAGCGCAACCCCUGUUCUUAGUAGCCAGCGGUUCGGCCGGGCACUCUAGGGAGACUGCCAGGGAUAACCUGGA
rnacentral:rRNA from 1 species